CCUACGGGAGGCAGCAGUAAGGAAUAUUGGACAAUGGUCGGAAGACUGAUCCAGCCAUGCCGCGUGAAGGACGAAGGCGCUCAGCGUUGUAAACUUCUUUUGGAUGGGGAUAAUAGGCUCGAUUUAUCGGGUUUUGAAGGUACCAUCAGAAUAAGCACCGGCUAACUCCGUGCCAGCAGCCGCGGUAAUAA
rnacentral:rRNA from 1 species